CUGGUGGCGAGUGGCGAACGGGUGAGUAAUGUAUCGGAACGUGCCCAGUAGCGGGGGAUAACUACGCGAAAGCGUAGCUAAUACCGCAUACGCCCUACGGGGGAAAGCAGGGGAUCGCAAGACCUUGCACUAUUGGAGCGGCCGAUAUCGGAUUAGCUAGUUGGUGGGGUAACGGCUCACCAAGGCGACGAUCCGUAGCUGGUUUGAGAGGACGACCAGCCACACUGGGACUGAGACACGGCCCAGACUCCUACGGGAGGCAGCAGUGGGGAAUUUUGGACAAUGGGGGAAACCCUGAUCCAGCCAUCCCGCGUGUGCGAUGAAGGCCUUCGGGUUGUAAAGCACUUUUGGCAGGAAAGAAACGUCAUGGGUUAAUACCCCGUGAAACUGACGGUACCUGCAGAAUAAGCACCGGCUAACUACGUGCCAGCAGCCGCGGUAAUACGUAGGGUGCAAGCGUUAAUCGGAAUUACUGGGCGUAAAGCGUGCGCAGGCGGUUCGGAAAGAAAGAUGUGAAAUUCCAGAGCUUAACUUUGGAACUGCAUUUUUAACUACCGGGCUAGAGUGUGUCAGAGGGAGGUGGAAUUCCGCGUGUAGCAG
rnacentral:rRNA from 1 species